rnacentral:rRNA from 1 species
UGGAACUGAGACACGGUCCAGCCUCCUACGGGAGGCAGCAGUGGGGAAUUUUGCGCAAUGGGGGAAACCCUGACGCAGCAACGCCGCGUGAGUGAUGAAGGGCCUUGGGUCGUAAAGCUCUGACAGAGGGAAAGAAAUGUGGGUGGCUAAUAUCCAUUCCACUUGACGGUACCCUCAAAGGAAGCACCGGCUAACUCCGUGCCAGCAGCCGCCGUAAUACGGAGGGU